ensembl:lncRNA
CAUAACUGCAUUUCACAACAUGAGAAACAGAGUCUACUACAGGCACCAUUUCUUGUAAAUCAGCUGGUUUGCCGUUGGUAGAUUCCACACUCCCGACGGGAAUAAAAGCCAGGCUUUCUACAACAGGGUGCACACACUUUCAGUGAAGACCAGACCCAGAAAGCAAUCGUUGGCGUGCCGCCAGUGUUUUUGCUGCGGGCGGGCCACCGGCGGCUAUAAUGUCGUACAGCCAGCGGGCCACCAGCUUUUGCCGCUUUUCUCUUGAUUUCAAUUUGCAUCUCAGGCGGCUUUCCACCAGCGGCCCGACUGCGUUACGCUAGCGGCUAGCUGUCGAAAAGAGGGCAUGCGCUUUAGUCUGCUGUAUCUGCUUGUGUUGCCAUUUUCUUCCAGCAGAUGCUAUUGUACCCCUUUUAUUCUUGUAAUGAUUAUUUGAUUUAUUUUAAUAUUGUAAAAUCUUAGUGUACAGAAUUUUGGUCAACAAUUGGUAGUUUAUAAAUAAAAUAGACUUUGACUAUUGCAUUGCUUGUGUAAAGGACCUUAGACAUGUACAGUAAACACCUCUCGCCAUUGCUUGCCAUAAUAUUUUCACGAACUAAUGGCCAUUUUACAUUACAUGGUACCAGCUCAACUCGUCUAUAGCCUCGAUUUUAAUGCUUCAUGGGGGACAGUUCUUUACUGUGUUUAAACACCGCCGUGUCCGUAGAUGGCGUUUAAGUAGCGAAUUGCGCAUGUGUAAGGCAAGACCUUACACAUGCGCAGGACAGUCGCCAUUUGGAUCCCACGCUGUAGUACCGCGAAAACUAGAAAGAACAUUAAUUUUAGCGACUUGGUUCUCUUGUCAACUCUUGUUCAAAGUGUAUAAGCUAUAUGCUCUGAAUUGGACUAUACAACACGUGGAUUAUCACAUUGUUUUAUUACAAUUUUAUGAACUCCCGAAACAAACGAAGAUCAAGGAUUUUUUUGGACAUCAGACCGAAAAUUGUUGAACGCCGAGUCACAUACUUAGGGUGAGUUCUGUUCUGCGAUAUUAUAAAUAACUAGCGUUAAGUGUUGUUAAGAUACUGAGUAAUAACGUAAUGACUGUUUGCAAUAUUCUAUUAACAUUCUAAUUAUUUAGUCAAGUUACUGUAGCUGAACACAAGUUCAAGCCAUUGGCGGGAAAACAAGUUAUAGAAACUGAGCUUGGAAAAAACAGCGUUGUCCUGAGAUUAAAUACCUACAGUAACCCUUGUUUCUUCUUGUGUCCACAAGUUUGGUUGCUUAAUAUUUUUUUGUUUCUUCGUUUAUCCUCAAGUUCGGAUGUUUUGUGCUUCUUCGCCUAUCAACAGUUGAACAGGGCAAAAAGGCAGAGGUAGGGGGAAGUUUUAGCUCUGUACAGAACAUUUGGAGAAGAUCAAGUGGCUGACUGAAGAGAAGGUCAAGCUGAGGGCACAGCUGGCUCUACAAUCAGUUAAAAACAAGACUUUAGUUACGCUAGCAUCUUGUCUUAAUGAAACAGCAUUUGUUUGAACAUGAGCCCUUUACUGAAAUGCAAUACUGUACAGCCUUUCUGAAAUUACAUGUAUAGGGCAGUUUUGUUUAUUUCACUAUUAAGCUAUUGACAUUUCAUUGUGCUUUUUAGCUUCUGAUAAACGUCUGACUUGAAAAGAAUGUCAAGCCGAGGGCACAGCUGCCUCUACAAUCAGAAGCCAUAAGGAAGAAUCUUUCCAACCGGGAUGCCACUGAUGAGGCGGUCCAGAACCAGGUCCCCAGGUACCAGAAAGGGGCAGCUGACCGUGCAGGUGGGAGAUGUCGCGGCGGUACAAGGGACCUGUCGUGAAUAUGAAUGACAUCUCCAGCACAACUAAUAUUGCUGCUAAGCUGCAGUACUGUAUUUCUUUUUUUUUUCUUUUUUACUGCUGCUAUGUACAGUGUUAUAUAUAUGAUUGCAUUAUCCUCUUAAUAUAUUUAUAGCUCUGUGUGAACUUUCUUAAUUCUGACUGUAGUUGUAGUGUUAUGCCACCAUUCAUAAUCUUAAUGCCCUGAUGUAUCUGAUAUUCAAUAACUAUUGUUUGCUGCUAGGUCAUACUUAUGUAUAUUACUGCCAUUCUGGCCCUUGUUUAUUUUGUAUUGUAUUAUGUUUAUUUUGUACUUCCACAUUAAAAUACUGUAUAUUUACUAUCUGUUACUGGACACGUUUUCUUGCACUAUCUGAUUUUGUAAAAUGUUUUUUUCAAUUCAUUUGCACAUGUUUAUUUUGUAUUCUUGC